UACGAAGGGGGCUAGCGUUGUUCGGAAUUACUGGGCGUAAAGGGCGCGUAGGCGGUCCUGAUCGUCGGAUGUGAAAGGCCUGGGCUCAACCUGGGAAUGGCAUCCGAUACGGCGGGACUGGAGUGUGGGAGAGGGUCGCGGAAUUCCCGGUGUAGAGGUGAAAUUCGUAGAUAUCGGGAGGAACACCGGUGGCGAAGGCGGCGACCUGGGUAGAUACUGACGCUGAGGUGCGAAAGCGUGGGGAGCAAACAGG
rnacentral:rRNA from 1 species